GAGGGAGACAGAGGUGAGAGAAAAGGAAAAAGCAAAAGAAAAAAAAGAACAAUUACUGUUCUUCUUCUUCACAGGUUUCUACCGUUGAUCCCUGCCGCCUUCGCCGACCCCCCUGCACAGCACCGCCGCGUCGCCUGCAGCCCGUCACUGCGCCGCCACCGCCCUCGCUGCUUCGUCUGCCGAACCCCCACGCCGGUACGCGACCCGCCUGUCGAUCGCGUUCGCAAUCCGCCGCUGUAGCACCUCCGAGCGGCUCUUGCAGCAGCUCGCCGCCACCGCUGCUGCGAUCUGACGCCCAGCCGCGACCC
rnacentral:lncRNA from 1 species